AACAUCAUACUUUCAGGGAUCAUUUCUAUAGUCUUUGACUUGAGAAAUAUCGUACGAAAGUGAUCGGUUACUCUAACCACGAUGAAGAGAACUGAUGUUCCCUUCUGAUGAAGCGGGCAGUGAGUGAUGAUGCAUUUCAUCCGCUCCUUGCCAUUGAUGACCGUUCCAUGCUCUCUAGUGGAGCCUGGAGGUAGGGAUCAUGAUCCGAGUGGU
ensembl:snoRNA U3 Small nucleolar RNA U3